rnacentral:lncRNA from 1 species
GCAGACUCUCAGGUCAGAUGGUGAGGGCUGAUUGCGGGAGGUGGACAAGAAGUCUGGCCUAAUGACUAAGGACAGCUAACGCCUAACUCCGUUCCUCAUCACUCCACCUGGGUAAGAGCAUUUGGUGCAACGAGCCAGUUUCGAGCCUGUGAAGGACCGUGGGGCAAGGUGACCGAUGCCGCUACCUCUUUGUCAUUCAGUAGCCCUCUUUACCUGUUUUGGCCUCGCUGCUAGGGCUGUCGCCGAGCUUACACGGACUCCAGAAGCAGCGGAACUGGCAACACCUUGGUGCCCUAGACGGAAACCUCAGUCCCGACUGAAGCGUAUUCAUCACCAACACUGGGAUAGCUGCAGCUAGGGCCACACAAUAAAAAUAGCCCAGGACGGCACUGGCUAUCCGCUGCCCCUUCAGCUAUAGAAUUCCUGUCCUUAAUCGCUUUUAGUUCUGUAACUGCUUGUGGAAACAGCUGAUUACUGGACAGGUGGGAGUACGAAAGGCGUUUAGUAAGACUGCAAAUCUGAUGUGAACUGGUAGGACGCAGAGUGUAUGGCAUAGUCAAGAAAGAAGUCAACGCCAGGCGAGGUGCUAUGGCUAAGGGAUUAAUCUUUUGUGUCCCAACUAUGUUGCUCUGACGGUUCCACUUGCACUACUGGUUUUUACUUCAUCGUUAAUCUCUGCUCUGGCCGAUAACAGCCUGCAUGAAAACAUCACCAGUUUUCAAGUUUUUCUCAGGAUGAACAGUACAUAGAAAAGUGAGCCUGAAUGCUGAGAUCCUGAGACCGUGCUGCGGCGCCUGGGAAUUCAUAGAGCAGCUUUUAAGGGGCCACCACUUCUCGCAUCGUGUGCCAUGCAAGUAAACCUACCCUAUCCUGAGACCCUUGCCUGGGGUGACUGGAAGAGCUGCUUCUGUAGAAUCCUGGGCCAGACCAUCUAUCUGGACGAAUAGGAGAAAAGCCUAGUUGUUGUCUCCUGCAAGAUGUAUUCAGUUGUAAUUUCGCCUUUGUUCCUUAAUCUGUUAGUAUGGUAUAUUACAUCGAUUAAUAUUUCAUAUUAAAUCAGUCAUGAAUUCCCAUUAUGAGCCCCACUUGCUCAUGAUUGAAGAUAUUUCUUAUAUGUUGCAGAUUGACUCUUGGUAUUAUUUGUCCAUUUUUGUACUCACCUAGCACACACAUACAAAAU